UACGGGGGGGGCAAGCGUUGUUCGGAAUUAUUGGGCGUAAAGGGUGCGUAGGCAGCGGAGUAAGUUGGGUGUGAAAUCCCGGGGCUCAACCUCGGAAUGGCAUUCAAUACUGCUUCGCUAGAGUACUGGAGAGGAGGCUGGAAUUUACGGUGUAGCAGUGAAAUGCGUAGAUAUCGUAAGGAAGGCCGGUGGCGAAAGCGAGCCUCUGGACAGUUACUGACGCUGAUGCACGAAGGCCAGGGGAGCAAACGGG
rnacentral:rRNA from 1 species